GACAAAUCUAGACUCUCACCACUCAUAUUUAAUUAUCACACAGAAUCUCUGCCUCUGUUUCGUGCUCGGUGUUUCUUUCCAGUCAUCCCAACACAGUCAUCUGCUCACUCUUCAUAUGACUUUUAAGAUGUAGCAGCAUCCUCCCACUUGUUCCCUGACAUCAAACCUUCUCUGCUCUUCCUUCGUGAACAUGCAAAUAAUCUGCGUGGCUGCCUCUUUGACACAUCGUGUAUUUGGUGUUUUGUUCUUUCCAAAGAGACAUUAACAGAAGGACAAACCCUUAUUCAAACAAAAACUUUAAAACAUCUCUGCGUCUACCCAGCACAAUCAGUGCUCAUGGGUCUGUGUGGGCGGAGGCCCGCAGAGAGAAAACAGGAUGGAGAGAACGAGUCUUGAGAUGAGUAGUAGGUCAGAGUGUUUGUUCCCUUCAGCCUGAUUAAGCUGUUGCAUUACUGCUUCACCCAACCCAGAACACUGAGCCUCCAGUUCAUUCAGACAGCAGGGAUGAUCCUCACGUGUGUUUGAGGGAGUGAACGGGGAAUGGAGAUUGAGAAAGACUUGAAAUCUGCUGACAAAGUGAAGGUUCGAGGUCAUGAGUUGGCUCUCGUUGAACUCGGGAAGCAGAGGCCGAUAAGCAGAGCUUCAUUUCAGGGAGUCUUUCUGUGUUCUUCUGGCUCUAAACACACUUUGGUGAGACCAGAGGCCGGCGGGGAUGUGAUGUUCUGGCAGCUUUGCCUGAAUAAGCAAUAAAUGGAUCGGAGCCGACUCCUAACUGGGCAGGAAGAGCUGCUGUCUCCCAUAAGGGCUUCUCCACCACCACAUGCUCGGCUGGUGUCACGAACAGCUGACUCCACCUGCUACGGGUGUGCGACCACAAGAGUCCGAUAGGAUUACCCUGUCCCUGCGUGAUCCUAGUG